AACGAACGCUGGCGGCAUGCCUAACACAUGCAAGUCGAACGAAGGCUUCGGCCUUAGUGGCGCACGGGUGCGUAACGCGUGGGAAUCUGCCCUUUGGUUCGGAAUAACAGCUGGAAACGGCUGCUAAUACCGGAUGAUGACGAAAGUCCAAAGAUUUAUCGCCAGAGGAUGAGCCCGCGUUGGAUUAGGUAGUUGGUGGGGUAAAGGCCUACCAAGCCGACGAUCCAUAGCUGGUCUGAGAGGAUGAUCAGCCACACUGGGACUGAGACACGGCCCAGACUCCUACGCGAGGCAGCAGUGGAGAAUAUUGGACAAUGGGCGCAAGACUGAUCCAGCAAUGCCGCGUGAGUGAUGAAGGCCCUAGGGUUGUAAAGCUCUUUUACCCGGGAAGAUAAUGACUGUACCGGGAGAAUAAGCCCCGGCUAACUCCGUG
rnacentral:rRNA from 1 species